UUUUGAGUUUUCAGCUCGAGAUUUCACAACCACAGAGCCAUUGCAACACAGCGAUAAACAAGCUGAGGGAGGCAACUCGAGGGAGGUGGAAAUAUGCAUUUCUGCCGCUCAAGCGUUCGCGGAGACUUCAAGGUAUAAUCUAUCCCAGAUCCUUUCCCAGAGAGAAACUUGGCCGAUCACGUUUCCACAUGAUGCUCACGUUUGGUGCUCUUCAAUUAUCCCUCCCCACAAAGAUAGGUGGCGUGUGUUUCAGGGUCUCUCCUCUCGCUCCUACAGAAAAGAAAAAGAAAAAAAUGUCAUUAGAAGAGGCGUAACACGUCAGUCCGUCCCCAGGAGCUGCAUCUCCCUUCACCUUUUCUCCUCCACUUCGCGGCUUCUUCAUGCUUUUUCUUCUCACCAUUUCUGGCCAAAACUACAAACAAGACUUCGCAGUCACUUCGGUCCCGCUCCGGGAAUGGACGAGCAGUUUCGGGGCUCUCGGUGCCACCACCACCACCACCACCCACCCCUCUGCUCCCCCUUUACCUGUCAGCCAGGUACGGGAGGUGCCUUUUUUUCCCCAAAGCAGCAGGAAAAGUUUUAGCGCUAGGAAAGGGGGACUUGGUCUUUCUGCACAAAAAAGCUAGCCGGUUCUCUAGGAAGAAAAGCGUUCUCGAGCUCUGCAGGUUUAUAAUUAUUGACAACUUUUUUUUGCGGGAGGUUGAGGAGCAGGGGAGGUAAUGAAACGCAUUUAAAACAAUUCACCAUUGGGUCGUUUUUUGCAUGAAAACGCCAAUUUGCCGAGGCAAGGCUGAGGGUCCGGGCUCGCCUCGGUUCUCAUCCUCCCUUCUCCGCUGCAUCUCCUGGUGGAUCUGCCCCGGUGAUGCCACCAUUCCCCACUCCAGGGUUGGGGAAGAAGUGGGAAAUGCUAAAGUUUCUAGCACAUUUCUCAGCCUCUUCCUUCCUCAGCCCCAUCCAUCCCCAGCCACAGAGCCACCAAUUCACUCUUGUCCAGGCGGAAUCCCAAGCAGGAGAGUGUGAGUAAACACCCUGACCCCGCUCACACACUCUCCCAAAUAUUCCCAUCCUCUUACCUGCUCGCAGAUUUAUUUUAAGCCAAGCAGGUUUGAUAACCGCAAACGCCUGGAAAGAAGAGUUCAGGCGGAAUAAAAAAAGCCCCAGCAGCA
rnacentral:lncRNA from 1 species